GGCGGCGUGGUGGAACGGUAGACACGAGCGACUUAAAAUCACUUUCCUGAGGAGUGCGGGUUCGAGUCCCGCCGCCGCUACCA
rnacentral:tRNA from 1 species